rnacentral:lncRNA from 1 species
UAAACCAACUAACAAAUGUUGUUUUGUUGGGUAGUUCAUUGUAAUCAUACAAUGUGAUUUGCCUAAAAGCAAAUAAACGAGAGAUAGAACUCAAAGAAUGGGUUCUUUGAGAGACAAGAAAGUAAUCAACAAAUAUAAACAACCUAGUUCCUAUACCACAAGCUCCAAGGUAGUCGAGAAGGAUUUAUAAACCGUCUCAGUUGAAUGGUUUGAACUUUAUGACUAUGUCAUAGAGUUGCACCUCUUAAUUCGAAAGAAAUAAGAAUGUAAAUCCUUAUGACUACAUUGAGUGCAUAUACGAUAUAUACUCAUGGGAAUGGUAAAGUACCAUUUGACCCGAAAUAAUGAAACCUUCAUAAGCUAAUUGGUAGCUUAAGGUGACUACAAUCAAAUAAAAUGGUUGACUUUGAAGGAACCAUUUUUGACGUAGUCUUAGUUUCAAUUAAUUCGAAGAUUGCUAGCUACAACUAAAUGGUGAUUCAAUGUUUGGACAUAAUAUGGGUUUCUGAAACCAUUAUUAAGAUAGUCUUGAUAAUAUAUGUCUAAAACUAUGAAUCACAAGACAUAUAAGUUGUAGAGAUCCAUCCAUCAUGGAUCUUAGCAAGCUAGUGGGAGCUGUAAGCGUCUUAUAAGAGAAAGGUCAAAUUGUUUGAUUUCUCAUAAAGAUGUAAAUGAAUCUUUUGUUUACUAGUUUUACAAAAGAUUAGUGGGAGUUAUUCAUAUUCCUAAAUUUGUAUAUAUAUAUAUAUAUAUAAAUAUAUAUGUGAUAUAUAUGAAUAUAUGUAUGAUAUAUUAAUUUUGGAA